GUCCACGCCGUAAACGUUGGGCGCUAGGUGUGGGGUCCUUCCACGGAUUCCGUGCCGCAGCUAACGCAUUAAGCGCCCCGCCUGGGGAGUACGGCCGCAAGGCUAAAACUCAAAGGAAUUGACGGGGGCCCGCACAAGCGGCGGAGCAUGUUGCUUAAUUCGACGCAACGCGAAGAACCUUACCAAGGUUUGACAUACAGGGAAAAGCCGUAGAGAUAUGGUGUCCGUAAGGGUCCUGUACAGGUGGUGCAUGGCUGUCGU
rnacentral:rRNA from 1 species